GGAAUGGGAACCAGCGCGGGACUGGGCGUGCUGACGUGCCGGGCUUCCGCUGUCCUGUUGAACCCUCACCGCAACCCUACGAGGGGGUAACAGCACCAGGGAAGUCAGUGUGGUGGGUGGAUAAGAGUACUCCUGGCUGGGAGGUAUUUCUAUAUCUGGGCAGCAGCUGGCCAGUGUGGGGAUCCAAACUCUUGACCUUGGUGUUAUCAUCAAUACUGUGCUCUGACCAGCUGAGCUAACCAGCCAGCCCCACAUCUGAUCUUCGUGAACUUGAAUGUGCAAAUGAAUCACCUGAACCUCUUGUUAAAAUGUAGAUUCCAAUUCAGCAGAUCUGGGGUGGACCUGAGGGUCUGCCUUUCUGGCAAGUUCCCAGGUGAUGCACACUUUUGAAGAGUUAAGGCCUCAGAUGACCCAACUGAGACUGACUUCCUGUCUGUUUCAUCAGCUUUACCUCUGCUACCCACUCCCCACCGCACUCCAACAUCUCUGUUCCAGCUGUUCCAAACCACUCACAGUCCCCUGAUGUGCUGGGUGGGAGCUCCAUGUCCCCUCACAUGCUGUUCCCUGAGCCUGGAAUCUACCCUCCCUCCCCCCACUCACAACUCCCAAGUUCCCCAAGACCCAGUUCAUGCAUAUCCUCUUUUGUGAAGACUUCACCAACCACUCUCCUUCAAAAAGAGUGAACAUUUCCCUCCCACUACCUAGAUGCACAUCUAUUACUGCCUUUAUCACACAAUAUUGCAAUUUUUGGUUUACUAUGAACCCAGUGAGGAGAUUGACCAUG